CCGGCGUCGUAGCCGAUGGAGGCCACCUGCUGGGACUUCACGGGCCUCAUGGCGAUGACGAUCAACUCGGCAUCGUCGUUCGUGGCGGCAGGUGCGGGA
rnacentral:tRNA from 1 species